rnacentral:sRNA from 1 species
UACAGAAGAUUUGGAAUAAGCAAAAAAGCUUUAAAUCAAUAGUCUAAACUGCUUGAUUUAAAGC